CGGGUUGUGGAUGUGUUCAGACUGUUCAGGGUUGUGGAUGUGUUCAGACUGUUCAGGGUUGUGGAUGUGUUCAGAAUGUUCAGGGUUGUGGAUGUAUUCAGAAUGUUCAGGGUUGUGGAUGUGUUCAGAAUGUUCUGGGUUGUGGAUGUUUCAGACUGUUCUGUGUUGUGAGAUGUAUUCAGGGUUGUGGAUGUGUUCAGGGUUGUGGAUGUGUUCAGACUGUUCAGGGGUUGUGAAUGUGUUCAGGGUUUGUGGAUGUGUUCAUAAUGUUAUGGGUUGGGAUGUGUUCAGACGUUCAGGGUGUUGUGGGUUCAGACUGUUCAGGGUUGUGGAUGUGUUCCAGACUGUUCAGGGUUGUGGAUGUGUUCAGACUGUUCAGGGUUGUGUAUGUGUUCAGGGUUGUGGAUGUAUUCACUGUUCAGGGUUGUGGAUGUAUUCACUGUUCAGGGUGUGUGAUGUGUUCAGACUGUUCAGGGUUGUGGAUGUGUUAGACUGUUCAGGUUGUGAAUAUGUCCAGCUGUUCAGGGUUGUGUAUGUAUUCAGACUGUUCAGGGCUGUGUAUGUAUUCAGACUGUUCAGGUGUGGAUGUGUUCAGACUGUUUUGGGUUGUGGACGUGUUCAGACUGUCUGGGUAGUGAAUUCAGAAUUUUCAGGGUUGUGGAUGUGUUCAGACUGUUCAGCGUUGUGGAUGUGUUAA
rnacentral:lncRNA from 1 species